CCUACGGGUGGCAGCAGUGGGGAAUAUUGCGCAAUGGGCGAAAGCCUGACGCAGCGACGCCGCGUGAGGGAUGAAGGUCUUCGGAUCGUAAACCUCUGUCAGCAGGGAAGAACGGUCACUGUGCUAAUCAGCAGUGAAUUGACGGUACCUGCAAAGGAAGCAUCGGCUAACUCCGUGCCAGCAGCCGCGGUAAUACGGAGGAUGCGAGCGUUAUCCGGAUUUAUUGGGUUUAAAGGGUGCGUAGGCGGAUUUUUAAGUCAGCGGUAAAAUGUCCGGGCUCAACCCGGGCCGGCCGUUGAAACUGGGGAUCUUGAGUGGGCGAGAAGUAUGCGGAAUGCGUGGUGUAGCGGUGAAAUGCAUAGAUAUCACGCAGAACUCCGAUUGCGAAGGCAGCAUACCGGCGCCCGACUGACGCUGAGGCACGAAAGCGUGGGGAUCGAACAGGAUUAGAUACCCGAGUAGUC
rnacentral:rRNA from 1 species